CCAUGUGCGGCUGAUGACAGCACUGCUGCUGAGACUCUGUGAUUGCUUAGUCUCAAAGUAAACGCUCUGACGCACCUGCC